rnacentral:rRNA from 1 species
GACGAACGCUGGCGGCGUGCUUAAUACAUGCAAGUCAACUGAACUUGAGGUAGUAAUAUUUCAAGGGAGGUGGCGCACGGGUGAGUAACACGUAGGUAAUCUGCCUUUAGGUCUGACAUAAUCCCGCGAAAGCGGAACUAAAAUCAGAUGAUGCAGCGGCUCGACAUCGAGACAGUUGUUAAACCUUCGGGGCCUAAAGAUGAGCCUGCGUCUGAUUAGGUAGUUGGCGGAGUAAAAGACCCACCAAGCCUGCGAUCAGUAGCUGGUCUGAGAGGAUGAUCAGCCACACUGGAACUGAGACACGGUCCAGACUCCUACGGGAGGCAGCAGUAAGGAAUAUUGCUCAAUGGCCGAAAGGCUGAAGCAGCAACGCCGCGUGGAGGAUGAAAUACUUUUGUAUGUAAACUCCUGUAAGAGGGGAAAAAUAUACAGCUAUGCUGUGUUGAUUGUACCUCAGAGUAAGCACCGGCUAACUACGUGCC